GAUGAACGCUAGCUACAGGCUUAACACAUGCAAGUCGAGGGGAAACGACAUCGAAAGCUUGCUUUUGAUGGGCGUCGACCGGCGCACGGGUGAGUAACGCGUAUCCAACCUGCCCACCACUUGGGGAUAACCUUGCGAAAGUAAGACUAAUACCCAAUGAUAUCUCUAGAAGACAUCUGAAGGAGAUUAAAGAUUUAUCGGUGAUGGAUGGGGAUGCGUCUGAUUAGCUUGUUGGCGGGGUAACGGCCCACCAAGGCGACGAUCAGUAGGGGUUCUGAGAGGAAGGUCCCCCACAUUGGAACUGAGACACGGUCCAAACUCCUACGGGAGGCAGCAGUGAGGAAUAUUGGUCAAUGGGCGAGAGCCUGAACCAGCCAAGUAGCGUGCAGGAUGACGGCCCUAUGGGUUGUAAACUGCUUUUAUAAGGGAAUAAAGUGAGCCUCGUGAGGCUUUUUGCAUGUACCUUAUGAAUAAGGACCGGCUAAUUCCGUGCCAGCCGCCGCUGUAA
rnacentral:rRNA from 1 species